rnacentral:lncRNA from 1 species
AUAUAUAUUGAAAUUAUAUAUUUUUUUAGUUUCACCGGUUCGGUUCGGCCUGGUUUGGUUUUUGAAGACAUGGAACCGGAUCCGGAACCGGUCCAAACCGGUCCGGUUCGGUUUUUGACCGGUUUUUGACUUUUUGGUCAACUCAAUUUUUUUUCGAUUUGGUUCGGUACGGUUCGGCUCGGAUUUCCGGUUCGCCGGUUUGAGUGCCCACCCCUAGAUCUUAUGUUGAAUUUGAAUAUUGAAUUAAUAGGGGUUUCAUUCCUUUCAAUUUAAUUUA